UGGGGAAUAUUGCACAAUGGGCGCAAGCCUGAUGCAGCAACGCCGCGUGAAGGAAGAAGGGUUUCGGCUCGUAAACUUCUUUAGGCAGGGACGAAAAAAAUGACGGUACCUGCAGAAUAAGCCCCGGCUAACUACGUGCCAGCAGCCGCGGUAAUACGUAGGGGGCAAGCGUUAUCCGGAAUGACUGGGUGUAAAGGGUGAGUAGGCGGUUUGGUAAGUCAUAUGUGAAAUCCCAAGGCUCAACCUUGGGACUGCAUAAGAAACUAUCAGACUAGAGUGCAGGAGAGGUAAGCGGAAUUCCUAGUGUAGCGGUGAAAUGCGUAGAUAUUAGGAAGAACACCAGUGGCGAAGGCGGCUUACUGGACUGCAACUGACGCUGAGUCACGAAAGCGUGGGGAGCGAACA
rnacentral:rRNA from 1 species